ensembl:lncRNA
GACUCAUUGGAAAAGACUCUGAUGCUGGAAGGAGUCAUUUACUGAGAACCUUUGAAACCUGCCACAGAGUGAGAAGUUGAGGUUGUGACAGAAGAAGCCUCAUAGAUCUCCUUGUCCUCUUGGAGCCAGGCUGCUUGGUCGGGAAGACAGGAAGCAGUGAGAACACAGGGAUCACGGCUCAGAGAAAGUGAGAAACUUACUAAAUAUACAGCCCAGCUUGGAGGAUUGUGUCUGUCAUUGCAGCUGUAUCCUUAGGCCUUUGCAUGGUGCCUGGCUGGGAACAAGUGCUCAGAAGAGUUGCCA